rnacentral:rRNA from 1 species
GGGGAUUAGUGGCGAACGGGUGAGUAACACGUGAGUAACCUGCCCUUGACUCUGGGAUAAGCCUGGGAAACCGGGUCUAAUACUGGAUACGACCUUCUGGCGCAUGCCAUGUUGGUGGAAAGCUUUUGUGGUUUUGGAUGGACUCGCGGCCUAUCAGCUUGUUGGUGGGGUAAUGGCCUACCAAGGCGACGACGGGUAGCCGGCCUGAGAGGGUGACCGGCCACACUGGGACUGAGACACGGCCCAGACUCCUACGGGAGGCAGCAGUGGGGAAUAUUGCACAAUGGGCGCAAGCCUGAUGCAGCGACGCCGCGUGAGGGAUGAAGGCCUUCGGGUUGUAAACCUCUUUCAGUAGGGAAGAAGCUGGUCCUUCGGGGUUGGUGACGGUACCUGCAGAAGAAGCGCCGGCUAACUACGUGCCAGCAGCCGCGGUAAUACGUAGGGCGCAAGCGUUAUCCGGAAUUAUUGGGCGUAAAGAGCUCGUAGGCGGUUUGUCGCGUCUGCCGUGAAAGUCCGGGGCUUAACUCCGGAUCUGCGGUGGGUACGGGCAGACUAGAGUGCAGU